UCAGUUCAGAUCGUAGGCUGCAACUCGCCUACGUGAAGGAGGAAUCGCUAGUAAUCGCAGGUCAGCAUACUGCGGUGAAUACGUUCCCGGGCCUUGUACACACCGCCCGUCACACCAUGGAAGUUGGCCACGCCCGAAGCCGUUACUCCAACCCUCGGGAGGAGGACGUCGAAGGUGGGGCUGAUGACUGGGGUGAAGUCGUAACAAGGUAUCCGUACCGGAAGGUGCGGAUGGAUCACCUCCUAA
rnacentral:rRNA from 1 species